GGAUUGUAUUAAAAUCACAGGGUAAUUCACAGAACUAGUAUUUGGAUCCUACUGUUCUUUUAUUGCAGCUUCUGAAGUGUGUUAGAAUGCAGAAUGUGGAAACGUCUUAUGGAGUGGUGCACCCAAAACACAGGGGAGAACCAGACGUUGGGGGAGAAGCAGACAUUGAUUGUGAUCUAGUGAGAUCUGGGAAGGCUUCCUGGAAAGUUUGCCAUUUGCGCUGGACCUUCAAGAACGUGUGGAUUUCUGGAGGUUUCUGGUCUGUGGGGCACCUGGCUUGCUCAGUUGGUGGAGCGCAUGACUCUGGAUCUUGGGGUCGUGAGUUCGAGCCCCAUGUUGGGUGUGGAGAUGACUUAAAAAAAUUCAGAUCUGAUAAUUGAUCAAGGAAAGAAUGUUAAAAAGAGUGCCCCUUCACUGACAAGAAAGGCGUUAUCAUUUUUAUUACCUGUGGGCUGUUCAUAGAAUCUCUGUAUUAGGGUUAAUGAUAGCAUCUCCUUCAUGGGUGAUGGUUUGUGAAACCAGCAGUUAUCGGAGAUAAACACUGAAGAGUCUGAUUUACUUGUUCAUGAGCAUACCAUAAAAUCUUCAGUUAAAUCACAUUUUAUGACUAUGGCCUCCAAGUUUUUAAAUAUAGCCUUUUGAUCACUUCAUAGUUGUAAAGGCUGACUUUCUUUUUCCUCGUUGGCAGUGAGUAAUUUAUAACGUCU
rnacentral:lncRNA from 1 species